rnacentral:rRNA from 1 species
GACGUAGGGUCCAAGCGUUGUCCGGAUUUACUGGGCGUAAAGAGCGCGUAGGCGGCUCGUUAAGUGUGAAGUGAAAUCUCCAGGGCUCAACCCGGAAACUGCUUUACAUACUGGCGAGCUGGAGUGAUGCAGAGGUUUGUGGAAUUCCUGGUGUAACGGUGAAAUGUGUUGAUAUCAGGAGGAACACCUGCGGCGAAGGCGGGUUGCUGGGCCGACACUGACGCUGAUGCGCGAAAGCCAGGGGAGCGAACGGG